rnacentral:lncRNA from 1 species
GUCAGACUGUCAGUCGCUAUGUAGCGACCUGUAAUUCCUCAAAGGGUUCUUCCUUUGCGUUCUCCUUUGAAUCCUCUUCGAAAUUCUUUUCGUUUCGUCUCAAUCGGAGUUUCCGUUGAGAUUUUACGACGAAAACAAGUGGGACUCGUCUCGGCUCCCUUCCACUCGCUAUAGCGACCGAGAUGACAUCCUCACUCGCUAUAGCGACCUGUCAGGCCUCAAAGGGGUCCUCCGUUGCGUUCUCCUUUGAAUUCUCAUCGAAACGCUUUUCGUUUCGUCUCAAUCGGAGUUUCCGUUGAGAUUUUACGACAAAAACAAGUAAACCUCAUCUUAAACUCCUUGGCUUGUUUCUGCUCACCCUACCUCCAUCUUUGCGUUCACUUUCGAAUCUCGAUCGAAACGUCUCUUGUUUCUCCUCGAUUGAAGUUACCUUUGAGACUUUACGAUAUAAAAAAAAAAAAAAAACCGCAAAGACCUAUUUUCUCGCAUGGAUUCAGAUUAAUCGUAUAAAACGGCAAUGGUUAACUUAACACCUUAGCCGCCUUAACUAUACGACUACAUUGGACCUUUUUACAAAAAUCGACGUCUUAUCUAAGGAGAAGAUAACAGUCGAGUUCGGAAGAUAAAUGUCAAGUUUCAAAGGAUAAACACCAAUAUCGGAAAUGGCGAACAUACCCGAGAAUAGGAAACAGAAAUGAGCACGCAAAACUGAGAAGGGACAAAACUGCAUCUUCGAGAGAACUAAGGUAUUUCCGACUUGAAAUUUUUGAAAUCAGACUUGGAAUUUUCGUAGGAAAUUACUUUGAGGCUGCCAUAGAACUUUAGGGAACGUAAAACCUAGGCGGAUAGUCUAGCGAACUAAGUUUUAAGCGAUUUUUUCCUGUCUCGAUAUAUU